GUUGACCUCGGAUCAGGUAGGGAUACCCGCUGAACUUAAGCAUAUCAAUAAGCGGAGGAAAAGAAACCAACAGGGAUUGCCCUAGUAACGGCGAGUGAAGCGGCAACAGCUCAAAUUUGAAAUCUGGCGCAAGCCCGAGUUGUAAUUUGUAGAGGAUGCUUCAGGGCAGCGGCCGGUCUAAGUUCCUUGGAACAGGACGUCAUAGAGGGUGAGAAUCCCGUAUGCGACCGGUUGGCACCCGUCACGUAGCUCCUUCGACGAGUCGAGUUGUUUGGGAAUGCAGCUCUAAAUGGGAGGUAAAUUUCUUCUAAAGCUAAAUACCGGCCAGAGACCGAUAGCGCACAAGUAGAGUGAUCGAAAGAUGAAAAGCACUUUGGAAAGAGAGUUAAAAAGCACGUGAAAUUGUUGAAAGGGAAGCGCAUGCAACCAGACUUGUCGGCGGUGUUCCACCGGUCUUCUGACCGGUUCAUUCGCCGCCGGCAGGCCAGCAUCAUCUGGGAGCGCCGGAUAAAGGCGUAGGGAAUGUGGCUCCUCGGAGUGUUAUAGCCCUUCGCACAAUACGGCGCCUCUCGGGUGAGGUCCGCGCUUCGGCUAGGAUGCUGGCGUAAUGGUUGUCUGCGGCCCGUCUUGAAACACGGACCAAGGAGUCUAACAUCUAUGCGAGUGUUCGGGUGUCAAACCCCUACGCGUAAUGAAAGUGAACGGAGGUGGGAAGCGCAAGCUGCACCAUCGACCGAUCCUGAUGUCUUCGGAUGGAUUUGAGUAAGAGCAUAGCUGUUGGGACCCGAAAGAUGGUGAACUAUGCCUGAAUAGGGUGAAGCCAGAGGAAACUCUGGUGGAGGCUCGCAGCGGUUCUGACGUGCAAAUCGAUCGUCAAAUUUGGGUAUAGGGGCGAAAGACUAAUCGAACCAUCUAGUAGCUGGUUCCUGCCGAAG
rnacentral:rRNA from 1 species